rnacentral:rRNA from 1 species
UAACAAAAACAUGUCCUUUUGAUUAUAAUUUAAGGUCUAAUCUGCCCAAUGAUAAAUUAAAUGGCCGCGGUAUUUUGACCGUGCAAAGGUAGCAUAAUAAUUAGUUUCUUAAUUAGAAGCUGGAAUGAAAGAUUGAAUGAGAAAAUAACUGUCUCAAUUUAAUUUAAUUAGAAUUUUAUUUUUAAGUUAAAAAGCUUAAAUAAGAUUAAAAGACGAGAAGACCCUAUAGAGUUUUAUUUUAUAUAAAAAUAUAUUUAUAUUGAUUAUAUUAUUUGUAUUUUUAUAUAAAAUUUUGUUGGGGUGACAAAAAAAUUUAUUUAACUUUUUUUAUAUAUAAACAUAAAUUUAUGAAUUUUUGAUCCAAAAUUUUUGAUUAUAAGAUUAAAUUACCUUAGGGAUAACAGCGUAAUUUUUUUUAAGAGUUCUUAUCGAAAAAAAAGAUUGCGACCUCGAUGUUGGAUUAAAGUUUAAUUUUGGUGUAGAAGCUAAAAAUUUAGGUCUGUUCGACCUUUAAAACUUUACAUGAUCUGAGUUAG